rnacentral:rRNA from 1 species
UACGUAGGGUGCGAGCGUUAAUCGGAAUUACUGGGCGUAAAGCGUGCGCAGGCGGUCUCGCAAGUCCGAUGUGAAAUCCCCGGGCUCAACCUGGGAACUGCAUUGGAAACUACGAGGCUGGAGUACGGCAGAGGGGGGUGGAAUUCCACGUGUAGCAGUGAAAUGCGUAGAUAUCAAGAGGAACACCUGCGGCGAAGGCGGGUUGCUGGGCCGACACUGACGCUGAUGCGCGAAAGCCAGGGGAGCGAACGGG